rnacentral:rRNA from 1 species
UACGAAGGGGGCUAGCGUUGUUCGGAAUCACUGGGCGUAAAGGGCGCGUAGGCGGCUAGCUAAGUCGGGGGUGAAAGCCUGUGGCUCAACCACAGAAUUGCCUUCGAUACUGUCUGGCUUGAGACCGGAAGAGGUUAGUGGAACUGCGAGUGUAGAGGUGAAAUUCGUAGAUAUUCGCAAGAACACCAGUGGCGAAGGCGGCUGACUGGUCCGGUUCUGACGCUGAGGCGCGAAAGCGUGGGGAGCAAACAGG